rnacentral:snRNA from 1 species
AGCUUUGCGCAGUGGCAGUAUCGUAGCCAAUGAGGUUUAUCUGAGGCGCGAUUAUUGCUAAUUAAAUUUGGAAUUGCUUAUAAUGGCUAGAAAAUAAUAAAGGCACUAAAUUCUGCUGUCAUUAACACAGAAUC